rnacentral:lncRNA from 1 species
GCGGAUCUCGAUCUGUUCCUGGGCUGACCGAGUUCUUCUUCAUCGUCGUCAAGCUCCCUGCAAGUCUAGUUGCAACGCAUGCAAGUCUCCUCCUUCUGAUCUCCGUCGCUGCCUCACCUGCUUCUGCUCUGUCAAGUCGCCCUCAACUUGCAAGAUCUCGGUGAAAAGACUCGAACCACUCUCUCCCUUUCUCAGUUCCCUGCUUAUCUUGUUGAUCAUGCCAACUGAGAAGUAGUUUAGCGACCUGAACCUGUUCGUGACUUUGCUUGUAUGAGAUCAAAGUUUCAGAAAUCCUUGUUGAUCUUUAGUUUCUUAUUAAUUCCUAAGCUCUAUGUCGUGAUGCUUAUUUCAGUGAUUGAUGCUAGUUUACUUUGUCACCUGCCUACUGUGAUUUUUCCUUCUUCCCUUUCCAGUCACUUGCUUCUACCUUCUCUAGUUUGUUUGCUCGUGAGUAAAACCUACAAUGAGUAGUGUUAAUCUGUGUGUUGGAGGUAGGUAUUUCGAUCAGUGAAACAAUCGAGGAAAGUAUUGUUCGGAUUUCUAAUUCGGUCAUCUAUUUUGCUGCUUUUAAUUACUGUUCACCUACGACAACAAGUUCUUCCGGUUAAGCUGUUUGAAUCUGAAUUUCUGUUAGUAAUUUGGUCCCUGUGAAUGAACACGACAACUCUAUAUUAUAAACUGAUCAAAAUUGGCGCCGUUGCCGGGGACUAGCAGCGAGCGAUUGUGUGAGGUUAUAGACUAGUUUUUUUUUUCUUGUGCUAAAUAUUUAUGUGAUAGAUUUUUGUCUAGUAGCCCCUGUUCUAGGUGUUUCUCUUUUUUUUUUGUUUCUUGUCCUAUUUCGCAGGUUAAAGUAUAAUCUUGGUCAUGUCUUACUAUUUCGAUUAUCAUGGGCAUGUUAGCAGUAGCACUAAUCAUAUGGGAAAUCUUCAAGGAAAUAUGAGUAAUCAAACUUUACAUGAAUUAUCUAUGCAACAUGGUACAUAUUUAGUGGAUGGGCCUAGCUGUUAUGAUCCUUAUUCUCUAGGGUAUCCAUUUGUUGGUCCUACAUGCCAUGUUUGCGGAUUUCAGGGUCAUACACCCGCCGAUUGUCGGUGUGGUAAACCUUACACUCCAGAUUGUUAUGGUAUGAGUUUUGCUCCAUGGCAUGACCCAUACCACAACAAUUAUUCACCCAGAUGGCCUGGAAAUCCAAACAUGACAUAUAGGAACGACAGCCCUGAGGUCUCAUCUUUUUCUUCUAGCUAUCCUAUGCAGGGAUUUAGGAAUGAAGAGGCAAAGUCACAAGCUCAGUUAAAUUUUGAAGCAGAACAACAAGCUUGGUUUGAAGAUUUUAUGAAGAUGCAGCAAGAGAAGAUGUUCCAUCAACAAUCAGCUAUACCUUCAGAUGCAGAUCAAGAACAUGUGAUUCCUGAAAACGAAGAAAAAGUUGCUCAGAUUCGGGAAGAAGAGAAAUCUGAGAUUAAAGAAGAUGAUGUGCUAGAAGAAAACAUACGGAAUGAGCAAGAGGUGGGCUGUGCAAGUAGCAAAAAUACAGUAGUUGUCAAUCCUGAAGACAAAGAAGAAGCUAAUGAAGCAGAAAAUGGAGAUAAAGAAGAGAUUCAAGUGGACAUGCCCAUUCUCAUGCAAGAAUGUGUGGUUAAAGGUUUAUCUAAUAUUCUCUGUGACAUCCUUCCUUAUGAAAUUUCUGCUACUACCUUGCAUUGCAUGAUACCAUCACUAAAGGUAGAACUGAAGUGUUACUUUCUUAAACUUGAUGAUGCAUACUCUAUUAGUGCCACUUCUGAAAUUGAUGAUGAUGACUCGUGUUACCCAAAUGCUAGAAUGUUGCCUAAGGAUGCAUGCUCUAAUAUUACUCUUAUCUCACAUGCGAAUACUUAUCAUCAUCACCAUGUGCUUUAUUGCUAUGCUUACAUAAUUGGUUUCUCAAUUGAUGACUUAGAGGGUAUUGGUCCAGUGAUCUCUCCUAGAUUCUAUUCAUAUGAUAUAAUUGAGCUUAAUGUGAUAUAUCAUCCUCGCCAUGUGUGGUAUCGAUAUGCGUAUGCCAUUGGUUACUCCAUUGAUAAUUUGGAGGGGGUCAACUCUGUCAUUUUUAGUUCCUGUUGUGAGCGUAUUUCAGGGAUUUCACGGGUGCUUUGUCAACAAGGAAAAAACAAGGUUCGAGUUGACAUUCCGUGGGACCCAGGUGGAUCCAUGACAUUGUGAUGAGAAGAGAGAGCACGAGGAGAAGAGAAGGAGAGUGCAGGAGGUUGUGAGAUGGUGGAGCAAAGAAAGCUGUAUCGUACUCAUUCUUGUCAUUCAGAGUUUUAUCUUAUCGGAAAGAGUUCAAGUGUGGAGGGAUAUGAUAGAAGAGAGCAAAGAAGAAAUUCUAAUCUGGUGAGCAGUUCCCAAUUUGUGCCUCUUUAUUCACUUACAGAUUGACGACUCUAAAAUCUUGCAUUUUUUUUUACUGUCCUUAUUUGUGAUUCUUUCGUUGUGCUCUGAAAACUUGAUAAGAAAAGUUUAGUUGCCUAUAUAUUUGGAUAUCUUCUGAGCGAAACAAGUUUCAGAAAUCUGCAGCUGAUAUUUGCAUCAUCGAUUACCUUGUUGUGUGAAAAAUUCUGAAUUGAAGCUAUAGCCAUCGAGUCUUUACAUUGCAGAUAUCUGCACUAUACUUUAGUUUCUCUUUAUGGUCAUGUAUUACUGUUGAUAAAAUGAAGAAUCAGAUCGUUGACGAUUGAAUUGUGAAGUCAGUCCAUCUUUGAGCCAAUUAAUCAGGGCCAUUAACUAGCACAUCAUGAUCUCGGGAUCGGUGGCGUGUGAAGAAGACGGUGUCCUUGAUUAUAGAUUUCUUUAUAAAAAACCUGCAUACAUUCUGAAGUUUUAUCCCAAUAAGUGGCUAUACAAACAGCUUGUAGGCACACAAAAUCAACACAUGUUCUGACUUUCAGUUCAUACAAACAGCAAGCAACAGGGGGGAAAGGGAGAGAGAUUUUGAUGGGGAUUCACCCAAGGAGAAGGGGCAGCAAGG